rnacentral:rRNA from 1 species
UACGGGGGGGGCAAGCGUUGUUCGGAAUUACUGGGCGUAAAGGGCUCGUAGGCGGCCAACUAAGUCAGAUGUGAAAUCCCCGGGCUUAACCUGGGAACUGCGUUUGAAACUACAAGGCUAGAGUGUGGCAGAGGGGGGUGGAAUUCCACGUGUAGCAGUGAAAUGCGCAGAUAUCGGGAGGAACACCUAUGGCGAAGGCAGCUCGCUGGGACGUUACUGACGCUGAGACGCGAAAGCGUGGGGAGCAAACAGG